rnacentral:rRNA from 1 species
UACGUAGGGUGCAAGCGUUAAUCGGAAUUACUGGGCGUAAAAGCGUGCGCAGGCGGUUUCGGAAAGAAAGAUGUGAAAUCCCAGGGCUCAACCUUGGAACUGCAUUUUUUAACUACCGGACUAGAGUAUGUCAGAGGGAGGUGGAAUUCCGACGUGUAGCAGUGAAAUGCGUAGAUAUGUGGAGGAACACCGAUGGCGAAGGCAGCCUCCUGGGAUAAUACUGACGCUCAUGCACGAAAGGCGUGGGGAGCAAACAGG